rnacentral:rRNA from 1 species
ACUAGUGCAUAUGAGACUUCAGGAAUACUAUUUAUGUAUAUAACCACGUCA